rnacentral:rRNA from 1 species
ACGGAAGGCAGCAGUGGGGAAUAUUGCACAAUGGGGGGAACCCUGAUGCAGCGACGCCGCGUGGAGGAAGAAGGUCUUCGGAUUGUAAACUCCUGUUGUUGAGGACGAUAAUGACGGUACUCAACAAGGAAGUGACGGCUAACUACGUGCCAGCAGCCGCGGUAAAACGUAGGUCACAAGCGUUGUCCGGAAUUACUGGGUGUAAAGGGAGCGCAGGCGGGUCAGCAAGUUGGAAGUGAAAUCUACGGGCUCAACCCGUAAACUGCUUUCAAAACUGUUGAUCUUGAGUAGUGCAGAGGUAGGCGGAAUUCCCGGUGUAGCGGUGGAAUGCGUAGAUAUCGGGAGGAACACCAGUGGCGAAGGCGGCCUGCUGGGCACCAACUGACGCUGAGGCUCGAAGGCAUGGGUAGCAAACAGGAUUAGAUACCCUGGUA